UCUUGCUUCGAGGUACGCUUUGUGCAGUACUGUCAAAAGAAAAGUGACCGUUGAUGAUGACUUCAAGAUCUUCGUAGUACAACCUCAGUGGGGUUCUAGAGCUGCUAGACAGUGAGAAUAUCGAUGCUUAUGGCCUUGUAGAGUGAGAGGACAGUGACUGGGAUCAUAGCUAGGUAGGAAGCUACCUCAAGCUAAAAAUAAAGAGCCUGAAGGAGCUGGACCAAGUUUCUGGAUCUGGUGAAGAACGUUUCCCGGGAAAAGGGCGUCUGCUGAUACGACCUCGCAGAGAAGUUUCGGCAGAUCCUGAUCGAACAAUGUCACCGUGAGAACAUUGAGAACACUUACUUAGUGUCUAUAGUCACUUUGUGCCUUCGUAUAAUAUUGUUUGUGUACAUAAUUGUGAAUGUUUGUAAACAAUCGCUAAUUAGUUGG